GCGGGCGUGGCGGAAUUGGCAGACGCGUUGGAUUUAGGAUCCAAUACUCCGGUGUGCAGGUUCAAGUCCUGUCGCCCGUACCA
rnacentral:tRNA from 1 species